rnacentral:rRNA from 1 species
AUUACCUACGGGACGCAGCAGUGGGGGAUAUUGCACAAUGGGGGCAACCCUGAUGCAGCGACGCCGCGUGAGCGAUGGAGUACUUCGGUAUGUAAAGCUCUGUCAGCAGGGAAGAGAAUGACGGUACCUGACCAAGAAGCCCCGGCUAAAUACGUGCCAGCAGCCGCGGUAAUACGUAGGGGGCAAGCGUUAUCCGGAUUUACUGGGUGUAAAGGGAGCGUAGACGGCAGUGCAAGUCUGGAGUGAAAGGCGGGGGCUCAACCCCCGGACUGCUCUGGAAACUGUACGGCUGGAGUGCAGGAGGG